rnacentral:lncRNA from 1 species
AUGGAUAAGACAGAAAACUACAAAGUCAACGACCCGAAAAGGUGCAGCCCCAACACCUUCAAAAAGCGGCCCAGACAGGGACGGCCCCCCACCGCCCCGCGGCCCCUCUCCUCGCAGCCUAUCACUGAGCUUCCCCGGGCGCACGGCGCCCCGCGGCCGCGCUCCUCCUUCCCGCCUCCUUCCACAGCCAAUGACCUCGUCGGAGAUGCGGCACUCCUACCCGCGCUGCCCAUUGGCCGCGAGGGCCGCCUGUCACGCGGCUGGCACCGCCCCUCGAGCAAGGGGGAAAACACCCGAGGGACCCGAAUGAGCACAAGAUGGCCGCGCUGGCAGGCGGCCAAAUCCCAGGCGGGGCAGCGGCCGCCGCCGCCAUUAGGCCCCCUCCCCUCUGGUAUCCCCUCAUGUCGGGCUAAGAGAGCCGCGCGCGGCGCUGGGCCGGCAACCGGUAAAAUGGCGGCGGCCUCAGCCCCGUAUGCAAAGUACCCGCCGCCCCCUCCCCUCCGCCCUCCCGGUGGCAAAGGUAAAAGGGUCGGGUUCACGCCGCCGCCUCCGCCCGCUCAGACUCCAUCUUCCCUCUCCGCCCGCGACUCGCGCUCAGCGUCUCCACGACCGCGGCCCCAGCGGCGCCCAGACGGCGGACGGCUCUCACCGAGACCGGACCGGCUCCGGCCUCACGAGGCCCGCGUCCCAGCACGGCGUCUCCGCACCGGGACACCGCAGCGGCUCAUCCCGGCGCCGCGACGACCCGCCCUCUCUCCGGGAGCCGCGGGCCGGGCCCGUGGCACCGCUGGCUGCCGCUGCGCAGCGACUGGCGGAGCUCUAGUGCCCCCACCGCCCCAAAGCCCGGCGUCACCCCUCCCCUCCGCCGCUCGCGGAGGUGUUCCCCAGCGGGACCCCGGCGCCCCCUCCCUCGGCCCGCCGCGACGAAGCAGCCCAGACGGCCGUCUCCAGCUAAGAAAAAAAAAGAAAACCGCGAUUUUUACCUCAGGAACUGGCGCCAAGCGUGCCCGGCGGUGCCCUGAGCCGGGCCCGGGCGGGCCGGCGUUGUUGACGGUGCCCAGAGGCGGCCCGAGCCCCCCCACGAGGGGCGGCGGCAGCGGGAGCUCGACGGGGUCCGCGGAGGGGUGA